UAUCGCUAAAAACGUUGUUAAUAUCCGAGGUGAAGGAAAUACUUCUAUCCUGUUAUACGUCGCUUACCUGGACUGCAAGAAGUGUGUUCUACUCAGAAACGUCUAUGUAGACGAUUCUGCUUGUGCUCUUCUGGUCCCCGAGAGCGAACUUGGUCAUCACUCCAUCGGUUGUGAUUUUGUUUUCGAUCUUCUUUGCGGUGUGGGAGAGAAAUACAUUAUGUAUGACGAAAGCUGCAACUGACGUGGCAACUCCAACU